rnacentral:tRNA from 3 species
CCCCAUUAGAUUAUUCAUAUCUACGAAUACAUGGUAAGGCGUAAGUCAUCGGUUCAAGCCCGAUAAAGGGCU